ACUUAAUUACAUUGAGCUCUUCUUGAUUCUAUAGGUGGUGGUGCAUGGCCGUUCUUAGUUGGUGGAGUGAUUUGUUUAGUUAAUUCCAUUAACGAAUGAGACCUUAGUUUGCUAACUAGUUAUACGAAGGAUUUUUUCCUUUGUGGCCAACUUCUUAGAGGGACUAUCAUCAUCUAGCCAAUGGAAGUUUGAGACAAUAAUAGGUCUGUGAUGCCUUUAGAU
rnacentral:ncRNA from 1 species